rnacentral:misc_RNA from 1 species
CAAGAAGCCGAAAGGCUACUUCAAACCAUCGCGAACUCGUCCAAGUUGCUUCGGCGGCGCGGGACCCCUCGGGUGACCGCAGCGCCGCUUCCCCCCCGGGGGUCGCGGGGCGUCCGCCGGAGGUCACACACUCUCAUGUAUUAUAGUGGAUCUCUGAGUACAAAACAAAUAAGUUA